AGGUGCCGCUCAAUAUUCUCACAGCACUGUCUAGCAGACGGAGUCUUCCUGAACGCUGACUUUACCAAAUCUAAAUGGAAAGCAGGUUCUCCCCCGGUGUUACUUGAGCGCUUCAUUCACUUUGGAAGGCAAAGAGGUGUGUCUAAGCUACAUGUGAAGUCCUAAACCCUGAGUCCUGUUCUGGGAACUGCGAACCAACCUAGGACCCGGCAUCGUGGCUAGGACUGACUACGGUGAUGUGCAUUCUGAAAACUGAAGGGAAAGCUAGAGGGACCCGGUAGGAAAAGGAAGGUAGAAGGUUCGCAACAGGGAAUGACGACUAUGAGCCAUGACAACCAGGAACAUUGUAACCAAAGGCGGAUGUAAAACAGGAAACACUCACUGUGUGUCCACUACAAGUCAAAGAUGGCUGAGACGAGGUGUCCUCAUUACCGCCUUACAAAGGUCGACCUGAAAAGCCACACGAAAAGAGGAAAACACCCGUACACAGAAAGAUUACGAGGCGUUACCACAGAAGAUGCACCUGAAGUCUGAACAGCCCAUGAUGGUUUAUUUUUACAUUUUGUCAAUUUAGGUCAGAACAGAACAUGGGAACCUUUGGAGCUGGCGUUACAGGGUUUAUUUUAUCUGGCCUUCUACUGGAAGCUUUUUGAACUGAGAGAAGAGGAAACAAGUACCCAUUUCCGUUGUCGUGGGGCUAUUAAGCAUGUUUUCCUGUGCGGAACUCCAUGGGCAGCAGGGCCUGACACCCCUGAAGGAAGGCCCACAGACCCAGACAAGGCACUCAGAGGCAGCCCAGACUACGAACAUCCACGUGGCGACAGGGGCCGCGAACAUCAAUACAGACCCUGGAUGCGGCAGAAUCUCAGCCCCAGAGGUGGCCCUCAGCGACAGUUCUAACCCAGACAUCACCAUGGCUUCAGGUGACAAUGCAGGCCACUCACCUGGUCCUGCCCUGUAGCAUCUGCAGUCGUGACUCUGGCCACAGUGUACUCACAGCUCUGCUAGUCUAUCGUUCCCACCUCUCCAUCAAGCAUUAAUUCAUUGGAGACAAGGCUGCCACCUGAGCUGUGAAGGUGGAGGCCUCAAAAACUAAUUUUAAGGGUAAAAAUGUCAUUACAAAUUGUUCUCUG
rnacentral:lncRNA from 1 species